rnacentral:rRNA from 1 species
AUGAACGCUGGCGGCGUGCCUCAUACAUGCAAGUCGCGCGAACAGACGAGGAGCUUGCUUCUCUGACUUUAGCUGCGGACGGGUGAGUAACACGUGGAUAACCUACCUAUAAGACUGUGAUAACUUCGGGAAACCGGAGCUAAUACCGGAUAAUAUAUUGAACCUCCUGGUUCCAUAGUGAAAGACGGUUUUGCUGUCACUUAUAGAUGGAUCCGCGCCGCAUUAGCUAGUUGGUAAGGUAACGGCUUACCAAGGCAACGAUGCGUAGCCGACCUGAGAGGGUGAUCGGCCACACUGGAACUGAGACACGGUCCAGACUCCUACGGGAGGCAGCAGUAGGGAAUCUUCCGCAAUGGGCGAAAGCCUGACGGAGCAACGCCGUGUGAGUGAUGAAGGUCUUCGGAUCGUAAAACUCUGUUAUUAGGGAAGAACAAAUGUGUAAGUAACUAUGCACGUCUUGACGGUACCUAAUCAGAAAGCCACGGCUAACUACGUG